rnacentral:rRNA from 1 species
GACGAACGCUGGCGGCGUGCCUAAUACAUGCAAGUAGAACGCACAGUUUAUACCGUAGCUUGCUACACCAUAGACUGUGAGUUGCGAACGGGUGAGUAACGCGUAGGUAACCUGCCUGGUAGCGGGGGAUAACUAUCGGAAACGAUAGCUAAUACCGCAUAAUAUUAAUUAUUGCAUGAUAAUUAAUUGAAAGGUGCAAUUGCACCACUACCAGAUGGACCUGCGUUGUAUUAGCUAGUAGGUGAGGUAACGGCUCACCUAGGCGACGAUACAUAGCCGACCUGAGAGGGUGAUCGGCCACACUGGGACUGAGACACGGCCCAGACUCCUACGGGAGGCAGCAGUAGGGAAUCUUCGGCAAGGGACGAAAGUCUGACCGAGCAACGCCGCGGGAGUGAAGAAGGUUUUCGGAUCGUAAAGCUCGGUUGUAAGAGAAGAACGGGUGUGAGAGUGGAAAGUUCACACUGUGACGGUAUCUUACCAGAAAGGGACGGCUAACUACGUG